UACGUAGGUGGCAAGCGUUAUCCGGAUUUAUUGGGUUUAAAGGGUGCGUAGGCGGUUUAUUAAGUUAGUGGUUAAAUAUUUGAGCUAAACUCAAUUGUGCCAUUAAUACUGGUAAACUGGAGUACAGACGAGGUAGGCGGAAUAAGUUAAGUAGCGGUGAAAUGCAUAGAUAUCACGCAGAACCCCGAUUGCGAAGGCAGCCUGCUAGGGUGCGACAGACGCUGAGGCACGAAAGCGUGGGUAUCGAACAGG
rnacentral:rRNA from 1 species